rnacentral:rRNA from 1 species
UACGUAGGGCGCAAGCGUUAAUCGGAAUUACUGGGCGUAAAGCGUGCGCAGGCGGUUCUAUAAGACAGAUGUGAAAUCCCCGGGCUCAACCUGGGAACUGCAUUUGUGACUGUAGAGCUGGAGUACGGCAGAGGGGGAUGGAAUUCCGCGUGUAGCAGUGAAAUGCGUAGAUAUGCGGAGGAACACCGAUGGCGAAGGCAAUCCCCUGGGCCUGUACUGACGCUCAUGCACGAAAGCGUGGGGAGCAAACAGG